AACGAACGCUGGCGGCAUGCCUAACACAUGCAAGUCGAACGAGACCUUCGGGUCUAGUGGCGCACGGGUGCGUAACGCGUGGGAAUCUGCCCUUGGGUUCGGAAUAACAGGUGGAAACGACUGCUAAUACCGGAUGAUGACGUAAGUCCAAAGAUUUAUCGCCCAAGGAUGAGCCCGCGUAGGAUUAGCUAGUUGGUGAGGUAAAGGCUCACCAAGGCGACGAUCCUUAGCUGGUCUGAGAGGAUGAUCAGCCACACUGGGACUGAGACACGGCCCAGACUCCUACGGGAGGCAGCAGUGGGGAAUAUUGGACAAUGGGCGAAAGCCUGAUCCAGCAAUGCCGCGUGAGUGAUGAAGGCCUUAGGGUUGUAAAGCUCUUUUACCCGGGAUGAUAAUGACAGUACCGGGAGAAUAAGCUCCGGCUAACUCCGUG
rnacentral:rRNA from 1 species